GGGGCUGAUACUGGAUUCGACGGGAUUUGCGAAACCCAAGGUGCAUGCCGAGGGGCGGUUGGCCUCGUAAAAAGCCGCAAAAAAUAGUCGCAAACGACGAAAACUACGCUUUAGCAGCUUAAUAACCUGCUUAGAGCCCUCUCUCCCUAGCCUCCGCUCUUAGGACGGGGAUCAAGAGAGGUCAAACCCAAAAGAGAUCGCGUGGAAGCCCUGCCUGGGGUUGAAGCGUUAAAACUUAAUCAGGCUAGUUUGUUAGUGGCGUGUCCGUCCGCAGCUGGCAAGCGAAUGUAAAGACUGACUAAGCAUGUAGUACCGAGGAUGUAGGAAUUUCGGACGCGGGUUCAACUCCCGCCAGCUCCACCA
rnacentral:tmRNA from 1 species